UUUCCGUAGGUGAACCUGCGGAAGGAUCAUUAUCGUACAAAAUGUGAGGGGCAUGCGAGGGCUGUCGCUGACCCCAAAGCCGUGCACGCCCGAGUGUGUCCUCUUGCAUAAUAAUCCAUCUCACCCUUUGUGCAUCACCGCGUGGGCACCCUUCGGGAUCAUCUCGGAGGGGGGCUCGCGUUUUCACACAAACCCCCCUUUUAAAAGUGUAGAAUGACCACAUUUAUGCAAUCAAUACAACUUUCAACAACGGAUCUCUUGGCUCUC
rnacentral:misc_RNA from 1 species